GUGGGGAAUCUUCCACAAUGGACGAAAGUCUGAUGGAGCAACGCCGCGUGAGUGAAGAAGGGUUUCGGCUCGUAAAGCUCUGUUGUCGGGGACGAAUGUGCAGUAUUUGAAUAAAGUACUGUAAUGACGGUACCUGACGAGGAAGCCACGGCUAACUACGUGCCAGCAGCCGCGGUAAUACGUAGGUGGCAAGCGUUGUCCGGAAUUAUUGGGCGUAAAGGGAGCGCAGGCGGGAAGGUAAGUCGGUCUUAAAAGUGCGGGGCUCAACCCCGUGAUGGGAUCGAAACUAUCUUUCUUGAGUGCAGGAGAGGAAAGUGGAAUUCCUAGUGUAGCGGUGAAAUGCGUAGAUAUUAGGAGGAACACCAGUGGCGAAGGCGACUUUCUGGACUGUAACUGACGCUGAGGCUCGAAAGCCAGGGGAGCGAACGGGAUUAGAUACCCUAGUAGUCC
rnacentral:rRNA from 1 species